AACUUUCAGCAAUGGAUCUCUUGGCUCUUGCAUCGAUGAAGAACGCAGCGAAAUGCGAUAAGUAAUGUGUAUUGCAGAAUUCAGUGAAUCAUCGAAUCUUUGAACGCAUCUUGCGCCCCUUGGUAUUCCGAGGAGCAUGCCUGUUUGAGUGUCAUUUGACCUUCUCUCAACCAUAUCAGUCAAUGAUGUGGCUUGGAUGUGGGGUUGCAGGCUUCCGAGUAUGAAAGUCCAGCUCCCCUGAAAUGCAUUAGUGGUAUCUGUCUGAGCUGCUAUUUGGUGUGAUAACUUAUCUAUGCCUUUUGGUGAUCAGCACCGCUUAUAACCAUCGAUUUGACAAAUUUGACCUCAAAUCAGGUAGGACUACCCGCUGAACUUAAGCAUAUCAAUAAGCGGAGGCU
rnacentral:misc_RNA from 1 species